CCUUGGUUGGUUCAACUGAUAGAGCAUGAGACUCCUGAUCUCAGGGUUUUGAGUUCAAGUCCCACACUGGGUG
rnacentral:tRNA from 1 species